UACGUAGGGGGCAAGCGUUGUCCGGAAUCAUUGGGCGUAAAGAGCGUGUAGGCGGCCAGAAAAGUCCGCUGUGAAAACUCGAGGCUCAACUUCGAGCUGUCGGUGGAAACUUUCUGGCUAGAGUCCGGAAGAGGAGAAUGGAAUUCCUGGUGUAGCGGUGAAAUGCGCAGAUAUCAGGAAGAACACCUGUGGCGAAGGCGGCCCCCUGGUUGGAUACUGACGCUGAGACGCGAAAGCAUGGGUAGCGAACAGG
rnacentral:rRNA from 1 species